UCCGGCUUAACGCCGGCAGUCUCGCUAGAGUUCCCGGCAUGACCCGCUGGCAACUAACGACAGGGGUUUCGCUCGUUAAGGGACUUAACCCGACACUUCACAGCACGAGCUGACGACAGCCAUGCAGCACCUGUGCACGUUUCACCCGAAGGCAAUCGGCUCCACUUUCAUGGACGACAUCCGUGCAUGUCAAACCCAGGUAAGGUUCUUCGCGUUGCUUCGAAUUAAUCCACAUACUCCACCGCUUGUGUGAGCCCCCGUCAAUUCCUUUGAGUUUUAGCCUUGCGGCCGUACUCCCCAGGCGGCGCACUUAUCAGUUUUCCUUCGGCACGAUCGAGGUCAGACUCCCUCGUACCUAGUGCGCAUCGUUUACAGCGUGGACUAC
rnacentral:misc_RNA from 1 species